GUUCCAGCAGCCGCGGUAAUACGUAGGGUCCGAGCGUUGUCCGGAAUUAUUGGGCGUAAAGGGCUCGUAGGCGGUUUGUCGCGUCGGGAGUGAAAACACGGGGCUUAACCCCGUGCCUGCUUCCGAUACGGGCAGACUAGAGGUAUGCAGGGGAGAACGGAAUUCCUGGUGUAGCGGUGAAAUGCGCAGAUAUCAGGAGGAACACCGGUGGCGAAGGCGGUUCUCUGGGCAUUACCUGACGCUGAGGAGCGAAAGUGUGGGGAGCGAACAGGAUUAGAAACCCGAGUAGUCC
rnacentral:rRNA from 1 species